GCGAUUCGACAUGAUCUGAUUAUUGAUUAUCUUGUUUUUAUUUCUUGGUUUGUUUAUUUUUAAUUGAAAAAUCAUUUAAGUUUUUGUAAUUUUUUGAUUUAAUUUUUUAGACGAUAGAUUAUUUGUACUGUGAAGGGUUGUUUUUUGGUUAUUAAUGUUUUUUUGGAAGUUGAUUUUAUUUGUCGUACCUUGUGUAUCAGGGUUCAUUGAAUUUUAUUAUUUAUUUUUAUUUCCCGAUUUUAAAGGAGUUAAUGAUUUAUGUUAGUUACUGUUUUAUUAGUAUUAAUAAUAAUUUGUUGGUAGUGAAAUGUUAAUCGUCUUUAAUGGUUUCUGGUUUUUCAAGAAAUGAAUUCAAUUCAUACAUCUUAUUUAAUUUCUGUUGUUGGUUUAUUGAUUUUUAUUUGAUGUUAAGAUUAAGGGGGAUUAGCUCUUUAUUUUAUUUUUAUAAUUUUUUAUUUAAUUUAGUUUUGUGGAUUUUAUAUUGAUUUUCAAUUUGAUUAUGUUAAAAUUUUAUUUAUUUCUUUUUUUUAUUUAUUAUUAUUUAAGUUUUUAUUGAAAUGUUUGCUUUAAUUUCUGUUGUAUUUUAAUUAUUGUGUAAUUAGUAAAUUUUAUUUUUGUCGUUGUUGAUUUUUUGAUGUUUAAUUUUCUUUAAGGAAUUCGGCAAAUUGGUAUGUCCGCCUGUUUAACAAAAACAUCUUUUCUUGUUAGUUUUUGAAGUAUGGCCUGCCCACUGACUUUGUGUUGAAGGGCCGCGGUAUUUUGACCGUGCAAAGGUAGCAUAAUCAUUAGUUCUUUAAUUGUGAUCUGGUAUGAAUGGCUUGACGAGACAUCAGCUGUCUUAAGGGUAUUGUUAAUUGAAUUUAGUUUUUGAGUUAAAAUUCUUAAAUGUUUUUAUGGGACGAGAAGACCCUAUAGAGUUUAACAUUUAUUUUACUUUCUUUUGUUGUUUGUAUUUUAUUUUAAGUUGGGUAAUAUGUUUUGUUGGGGUGAUGGGAGGAAUAAUUUCAACUCCUCUUUGUUUUUAUAUAUUUAUUUAUAUUUAUUUGAUCCAUUUAUUUUGAUUAUAAGAUUAAAUUACCUUAGGGAUAACAGCGUUAUCUUCCUUGAGAGUUCUUAUUGGCGGGGAGGUUUGCGACCUCGAUGUUGGAUUAAGGUGAAUUUUUGGUGCAGGAGCUGAAAAUGAUUAGGUCUGUUCGACCUUUAAAAUCUUACAUGAUCUGAGUUCAGACCGGCGUGAGCCAGGUUGGUUUCUAUCUAUAAUAAAUUGUUUAUACCUUAGUACGAGAGGACCGGGUAUUUGAAAUAAUUUUAUUCUGUAUGAUUUUCAUUAAUGUUGUUACUAUUUUGGCAGAUAAGUGCAUUGGAUUUAGAAUCUAUUAA
rnacentral:rRNA from 1 species